rnacentral:lncRNA from 1 species
GGACAUUAUUGCUAUUUAUAGUGACCCCACUGAGCAAAAGCACACUGGAACUUCUUGCUUUUAACUGUGGCAUAGUUUUCAUUGUUCAGUCUUUUCCCUUUUCCCAUCCCUCUCCUGCCUGCUCUCUCCUGCCUUUCACUGUCCUACUUUCAACUUCUGUGAGAUCGCUUUUGCAGAUUCCACUUGGGACAUCAGGUGGGAUUUAUCUUUCUUGUCCAUAUUUCACUUAACAUAAUGAUCUCCAGUUCCAUCCAUGUUGUAAAUGACAGGAUUUCAUUCUUUUUACGGUUGCAUAGUAUUCCAUUGUUUAUGUGUGCCACAUGUUCUUUAUUCAUUCAUAUCCAGGCAGGAGAAAUUUUCUCUUACUCAGGGGAGGGUCAACCAUUUGUUCUAGUCAGGGCUUCAACUUAUGUAGGGCAAUUUGCUUCACUCAGUCUGUCAGUUCAAACACACACACACACACACACACACACACACACUUUUUUUUUUAAAAUGGUGCUGGGAUUGAACCCAGGGAUGCUCACAUGCUAGGCAAAUACUCUACCACUGAACUAUAGACCCAAUCCCCCAAUUUAAAUACUAAUCUCAUCCUGAACAUCCUCCAAGAAAUACUUAGAAUAAUGUUUGCUCCAAUCUGGGUACACUGUGGCCUAGUCAAGUUAACACAUGAAAUUGACCAUCCCAGUGAUACAUGCUAUAAUGCCUAUAAAGCUUGAAAAUUUUAUGCUAAGAGAAAGAAAACCACACAUAUCACAAAGGACCACCUGUAUGUGAUUCCAUUUAAAUGGAAUAUUCAAAGUAAGCAAAUAUAUAGGGCAGAAAGGUUAGUGGCUGCCUAGGGUUGAGGGGAUGGUAGGAUUUUGAAGUGAUGAUUGGCAGGUGGCCAGGGUUUCUUUUUGGGGUGAAAACUGUUCUAAAUUUGACAUGGUUCUAUGGUUUGUCUCCCAGAGGACAUGCAGGUGUUCAAUACCCAAAGUCAUAUGUCAAUGGUAUUAAGAGAGUAGAAAUUUAAUUCAACAAUGGCAUUUAGAGGUGGGGCCUGUGUAAUGUGAUUAGGAUUCAGUAAGGUCAUUACAGUGGAGUCCCUGUGAACACAGACUUGCCCUUUCUUUCACAAAAUAUAGUGUCUGAUUGACUAAUCCUAUCACACACUUUUUGGAUGGGCAUCUUCUUUCUACUUCUUGAGUUUCUCUUUGAUAAGGAGAUAUAAAACAAAAAAGAAUUAUUAUAAGGGAAAUCGCAUCUUCUUAGUUGGCCUAACAAGGUAGACUUUGUUAUGGAUGGGUACAUAAAACCUUUAUUCUUUCUUUCUUUUUCUUCCAGUACUGGCAUUAAACCCAGGUAUCUGUGCAUGCUUGGCAAGCACUCAUUCACAGAACCACAUUCCCAGCCAAAAACCUUUAUUCUGAUGAUAUUCAGAGAGAGAGAGAGAGAGAGAGAGAGAAAAGAACCAUAAUUGUUGCACAGCUGAAUAGCUUCAGGCACAAACAGAAUCAAUUGUGAAGAUGUUUGACAGUCCAGAAACUGCAAGGCAAAUGCAGUCAGCCAGGGAUGGUCAGAUAUUAUUGGACUACCUGCCAGACAAGCAUGGAUUUAGGCAGGAAGAUUUAGAUACAAUCUGCUGGUAUGCAGAAUUCCAAUAUGAAUGUGGAAAUUACCCAGGAGCAGCAGAAUAUCUUUACUUUAUUAGAGCUUUGGUCCCAACAACAGAUAGAAAUGCUUUGAAUUCUCUCUGGGAGUAAAGUGACUUCUGAAUUCUUAAUGCAGAAUUGGAAUGCAGCCAUGAAAGACACUUACAUAUUUAAAAGAGAAAUGACAUAGAUAAUUUAUUCUGUGAGUUCUCCACUCCGGUCUCUUCAGCAGUGACCAUGGCUCAUUUACGGUCUCUUAU